AGAACUGUCAAACAAUUUUUAAAAUCUACUAAAAUGUAUGAAAGUUGGCCUAGUGGCAGCUUUACUUCACUUGCUUGAAGCGCUUUAAAGUAUCGAUUAGCCGAAAUCUCUAUUUGACAGCGCGCUGUAGGCUUUUGACAACUCUUGACAUUUCAAUUUUUCGCGUCGAUUUUGCUUGUGUGCAGUUUUUAUCGCGUUCUUCAUCAAUUUUAGAUACCUUGCUUUUUAUCGUUCCGGCCACCAGAUUCGUUGGUUUUCAUAAAGUUUCAUUUGCCUGUGCCACUUCCACCCGUGUUUAUAAGGCGUAAUAUUCAACUGGAGAUACCUUGCUUUUUAUCGUUCCGGCCACCAGAUUCGUUGGUUUUCAUAAAGUUGCAUUUGGCUGUGCCACUUCCACCCGUGUUUAUAAGGCGUAAUAUUCAACUGGAGAUACUUCAGAGACGAACUUGGCCUUAUUUCGAUGCUAUGUUGUUUUUGAAAGACACGGUCACGCCCAGACAAACAACAACAAACAUCGUCUCCCAAACGCCAGAAGUUCUCGGACAAGAACCAGAUAUACUGGAUACUUCCUUUGGAUUCCAAAUAGGCGAGAGUGGGAACAUUAUAAUAGAAGAGCAAGAAACCACUGCCCCAACGCCGGCUAAGAGACAAAAGAAAAAAAACGAUGAGAACGCCGCCUUUAACGAUCUAGUCAACGAAGUAAGUCAGUUUGUGGAUAGUCAAAAAAAAAAAACACACACAACAAUUUCUUGGGUGCGAUUGGCGAAGUGUUUGAGAAGGUCCCAGAAGAGAGCCGCCUAGAUUUUCAAAUGGACGUACUUCAAUACGUCUAUGCUCAAUAUAAAAAUUAUAAAAAUUGAAUUUACGAAAUUUAAAAAUUUAAAUGACAUCCAGUUUGAUUUCAAAGGUUUGACUGAAAGGUAUAUUGUUUGUAACCACUAUACUGUGUAAAACGGUUUUAACUUAAAAGACUGAAUGAAAUAUAUGUUAUGUUAACGCCAUACUUACCUUGAACAAAAAUUAAUUUAAAAACCUGAAAGAUGUGACGACAUUUAAAACAUUACCAAUAAGUGCCCUCAUACUGUGAGUUCAAAUUUUUGUUUUCUAUCUUAAAUAAUAAAAACAAAGCAUAUUCAGUGAGUAGUAAUUAUUUAAAUU